rnacentral:rRNA from 1 species
AGCGAACGCUGGCGGCAGGCUUAACACAUGCAAGUCGAACGCCCCGCAAGGGGAGUGGCAGACGGGUGAGUAACACGUGGGAACGUACCCUUUGGUUCGGAAUAACUUGGGGAAACUCAAGCUAAUACCGGAUAAGCCCUUAUGGGGAAAGGUUUACUGCCGAAGGAUCGGCCCGCGUCUGAUUAGCUAGUUGGUGAGGUAAUGGCUCACCAAGGCGACGAUCAGUAGCUGGUCUGAGAGGAUGAUCAGCCACACUGGGACUGAGACACGGCCCAGACUCCUACGGGAGGCAGCAGGGGGGAAUAUUGGACAAUGGGGGCAACCCUGACCCACCCAUGCCGCGUGAGUGAUGAAGGCCUUAGGGUUGUAAAGCUCUUUUACCCGGGACGAUAAUGACUGUACCGGGAGAAUAAGCCCCGGCUAACUUCGUGCCAGCCGCCGCGGUAA